rnacentral:lncRNA from 1 species
AUGGUUCCACAGAGUUUCAUAGUUCAGCAGCUGGGUCAUGAACUAAAUCCAGAAAUCAGGGAAAACAGAAAAUUCUGGGAAUGCAGACUUUUCAGCUUUUCAGCUUGUUUCACACCCCUCCAUCUUUUGUUAGGCUUUUUUUUUUAUUUUUGGCAUUUGCACAGAAAACAUGUCAGUGUGUCUUUUACAGCACUCCAAGGAAGAAAAUUCAAGCUGCUCUGCCUGAUAUUAAAAGAUGUGGCAUUUGGUAAUAGUUGGAUGCAAUCCAACUGCUAAACUGCUGAAUUGCAGUUUGUAAUGCAAGCACAUCUUGAAGAGAAAGCAGCAUAAGAGAUGAAAAUGAAAUUUAUCAACAGGAAUAAAAGAACAUGUGAGCUGAAAGCAGCAGGAGGGAUAUCCAGUGUCUGAAGAUGGAAAGAAGGAUACCAAGCACAUUAGCAGUGGCAUUAGUUUAGUUAAACACAGCCACAUAAUGAAGCUGAGCAUCAGCAUCAUGAUAAAUUGGAGCAGAUGAAUGAGCUUUGGAGGGAGGGAGGGAGAACAUAGCAAGAGACCAAAUGUGUCAUGACAUGUGCAAUGAGAGUAACUCACCUGGAACAUGUUAGACGCCGUAGCACUGCCUGCUACUUACUCAAGUGACAAAAAGGAAGUUGCAAUAUAUAAGAUUAGUACACUUUACAAGAAACAAAUUCUCAUGCCAUUAAAAAGAUCACAGGUCACAAAAAUCUCAGUGUAACCCACAAGUAUUUAGCUGUUGAACAAGUCCAUCUGCAUUACAUAUAUUCAAGUGUUAGUAAUUAAAGGUGGGAUAUCAACCUUGAGCUGAUACCUUUUCCCAGAUACUGUCAGUUUAAAUCUGACUCUUGCCAUGGCUAUAGCAUGUUUUUGCUUUUGAAAUGAAUGGUGAGGUCCUAGGAAUAUGACAUCAGCGUUUCUAGUAAGAGAACCAUCGAAAGUAGAGCUGAAAGGGACCUUGGAAGGUCAUCUAGUCCAGCCCUCUGCCCUAAGGCAGGAUCAAUUAUACCCAAAUCAUUCCUGACAGAAGUUUGUCUAACCUGUUCGUAAAAAUGUCUGGCAAUGAAGAUCCCACAACCUCCCCAGGCAAUCUGUUUCAAUAUUUCACUACUGUUAUAGAUGGAAAGCCUGUCCUAAUGUCUUCCUUAAAUCUCCUUGGCUACAAUUUAAACCUGUUAGUUCUUUUUGUGUUCCCAGUGGACACCGAGAACAAUUUACAACUUCCCUCUUUGCAGCAAGCUUUAUAUGCCUGAACACUGGUAUCACAAUCUUAUUCUUUUCCCUGCAUCUCCUUUCUCUAGAUGUACUACCCACUUCUUUCAGUCUCACAGUUCACGUUUUCUAGACUCCUGAUCAAGCCACUACUUUCUGUUGGAAUUUCCAAUUGGACUGUAUCUUUCUUUUCUGAGGUAUAGUGCACAAAAGUACUCCAGCUAAUGUCUGAAGCAGAGAAUAAUUGGGUAAGAUUAUUUCCCAUUUCUUCUCCAUGACACAUUAAUUUAUAGAGGUGAAAUUGCAUUAGCUUUCCUCACACCAUGGACUGUGUUCAGUAUUUAACUCACAGCAGUCACAAAUCCCCUCCUGCAGAAUAGUGACCACUGAGUAAGAAGGUCCUGUUAUUUAUGUAUAUUGUUGGCUAUAGAAAUUCAGUGGCAAGAUCCUGGAGUGUCCCCACCCUUAACUUCGUUGAAUUUAAACCCACUUACCUCAGACUACCUUGUUCGGGUUUAAUAAGGAGCUCAGCAUCUAUCAGUGUAAUUUCACUGAAAGCAAUGUAGUAAGAUCAGUAAAUAAUUUAUCCCAUUGCCUAUCCAGUGCACAGGAAUUCAGCUGUGGUUUUUCCUAUUAAUACCAUGUUUAGUAUAUUCAGUGUGAAAUAAUCUGAAGCAUGAUGAUGUUAGUUUAGAGGAGUUGGAGCAGUUUAAAAUGCAGAAAAUUAUACAUGAAAAUUAUAGCUCAGAGGGGUCCCAAUUAGAUGAAAGGUU